GACGAACGCUGGCGGCGUGCUUAACACAUGCAAGUCGAACGGAAAGGCCCCUUUGGGGGUCCUCGAGUGGCGCACGGGUGAGUAACACGUGAGUAACCUGCCCUUGACUUCGGGAUAACUUCAGGAAACUGGGGCUAAUACCGGAUAGGAAUCCUUGCUGCAUGGUGGGGGUUGGAAAGCUUCGGCGGUUUUGGAUGGACUGGCGGCUUAUCAGCUUGUUGGUGGGGUAGUGGCUUACCAAGGCUUCGACGGGUAGCCGGCCUGAGAGGGCGACCGGCCACAUUGGGACUGAGAUACGGCCCAGACUCCGACGGGAGGCAGCAGUGGGGAAUAUUGCACAAGGGGCGGAAGCCUGAUGCAGCAACGCCGCGGGCGGGAUGACGGCCUUCGGGUUGUAAACCGCUUUCAGCAGGGGCGAAGCUUGUGGUGACGGUACCUGCAGAAGAAGCACCGGCUAACUACGUG
rnacentral:rRNA from 1 species